rnacentral:ncRNA from 2 species
AAAGGUUUUGAUUACUGACGGAUAGUUGUGGAGUACCACAGGGAAAUCAAAAUUAUAUGAUAAGGUCGACCGUCUGGGCAGCAUUU